rnacentral:rRNA from 1 species
UGGAGGCAGCAGUGGGGAAUAUUGCACAAUGGGCGCAAGCCUGAUGCAGCAACGCCGCGUGAGGGAUGACGGCCUUCGGGUUGUAAACCUCUUUUAGUAGGGAAGAAGCGCAAGUGACGGUACCUGCAGAAAAAGCACCGGCUAACUACGUGCCAGCAGCCGCGGUAAUACGUAGGGUGCAAGCGUUGUCCGGAAUUAUUGGGCGUAAAGAGCUCGUAGGCGGCUUGUCGCGUCUGCUGUGAAAACCCGAGGCUCAACCUCGGGCUUGCAGUGGGUACGGGCAGGCUAGAGUGCGGUAGGGGAGAUUGGAAUUCCUGGUGUAGCGGUGGAAUGCGCAGAUAUCAGGAGGAACACCAAUGGCGAAGGCAGAUCUCUGGGCCGUAACUGACGCUGAGGAGCGAAAGCAUGGGGAGCGAACAGGAUUAGAUACCCCUGUAGUCC